rnacentral:rRNA from 1 species
UACGGAGGAGGCAAGCGUUAUCCGGAAUUAUUGGGCGUAAAGCGUCCGCAGGUGGCACUUCAAGUCUGUCGUCAAAGACUGGGGCUUAACCCUGGAAAGGCGGUGGAAACUGAAGCGCUAGAGUGUGGUAGGGGUAGAGGGAAUUCCCGGUGUGGCGGUGAAAUGCGUAGAUAUCUGGAGGAACACCGGUGGCGAAGGCGCCCACCUGGCCUGCUACUGACGCUGAAGCUCGAAAGCUAGGGGAGCAAACGGG